GCUAUUUUCCGGAUUUUCUGUUCCAGUACCGACAACAAAAGUUUACACAUUUAAAAUCUAACUGAUCCCGAUGACCAACGAACAUGAUCCGAAGCAAUUUUGGAAACCAGUAACCGGAAGUUUUAUUUACCAUGCUGUAAACAAAGACAAAGGAAACGUACAAAAUGAAGAAUAACCUUAUCAUGCGUUAAAACUGGAUCAAUUAGCAUGAUUAGACGUACCAAAAUUUAGGAUAGAUUUUCAGAAAUGCAGAUUAAAAUUGAGAAUGGAAAUGGGGAUUAUAUAGAAGAAUAUAAGCUUAGAAAUGAUUCAAACCAUCCUGGAGGAGCAAAUUUUAUGAAGAAGCCAGCAGAUGUCAAAAGAAAUAAAAAGAAUGGAACAAAAGAAACUUUGAAAAAGAACAGUGAUACGAAAAUAUUGAAUAAAUGUUUUGCAUUUAUAA